GACGAACGCUGGCGGCGUGCCUAACACAUGCAAGUCGAGCGGAGUCGAUCGACGGAAGCCUUCGGGCGGAAGAUGGUUGACUUAGCGGCGGAUGGGUGAGUAACGCGUGGGCAACCUGCCUCGAAGACCGGGAUAACAGCCCGAAAGGGCUGCUAAUACCGGAUGUGGUCAAAGAUCCGCAUGGAUUUUUGAUUAAAGGGGAAACCCGUUUCGAGAUGGGCCCGCGUCCUAUCAGCUAGUUGGUGAGGUAAAAGCUCACCAAGGCGACGACGGGUAGCCGGCCUGAGAGGGUGACCGGCCACACUGGAACUGAGACACGGUCCAGACUCCUACGGGGGCAGCAGUGGGGAAUCUUCCACAAUGGGCGAAAGCCUGAUGGAGCGACGCCGCGUGAGCGAAGAAGGCCUUCGGGUUGUAAAGCUCUGUCUGGAGGGACGAAGGAAGUGACGGUACCUCCGGAGGAAGCCACGGCUAACUACGUGCCAGCCAGCCGCGGUAAUAUCACGUGUA
rnacentral:rRNA from 1 species